GAGGGGAUAGCUCAGUGGUAGAGCAUGUGCUUAAUAUGCAGGAGGUUCUGGGUUCAAUCCCUAGUACCUCCA
rnacentral:tRNA from 1 species